AGAGUUUGAUCCUGGCUCAGAUUGAACGCUGGCGGCAUGCCUUACACAUGCAAGUCGAACGGUAACGCGGGGCAACCUGGCGACGAGUGGCGAACGGGUGAGUAAUGCAUCGGAACGUGCCCAGAAGUGGGGGAUAGCCCGGCGAAAGCCGGAUUAAUACCGCAUGAGACCUGAGGGUGAAAGCGGGGGAUCGCAAGACCUCGCGCUUUUGGAGCGGCCGAUGUCAGAUUAGCUAGUUGGUGGGGUAAGGCCUACCAAGGCGACGAUCUGUAGCUGGUCUGAGAGGACGACCAGCCACACUGGGACUGAGACACGGCCCAGACUCCUACGGGAGGCAGCAGUGGGGAAUUUUGGACAAUGGGCGCAAGCCUGAUCCAGCCAUGCCGCGUGCGGGAAGAAGGCCUUCGGGUUGUAAACCGCUUUUGUCAGGGAAGAAACGCUCUGGGCUAAUACCCUGGGGUAAUGACGGUACCUGAAGAAUAAGCACCGGCUAACUACGUG
rnacentral:rRNA from 1 species